GACGUAGGGCGCGAGCGUUGUCCGGAUUUAUUGGGCGUAAAGAGCUCGUAGGCGGCUUGUUGCGUCGGCUGUGAAAACUCGGGGCUUAACCCCGAGCCUGCAGUGGAUACGGGCAGACUAGAGGUAGGUAGGGGAGAAUGGAAUUCCCGGUGUAGCGGUGAAAUGCGUUGAUAUCGGAAGGAACUCCGGUGGCGAAAGCGACGUGCUGGACCUCUUCUGACGCUGAGGCGCGAAAGCUAGGGGAGCGAACGGG
rnacentral:rRNA from 1 species